UACGGAGGAUCCAAGCGUUAUCCGGAUUCAUUGGGUUUAAAGGGUCCGUAGGCGGGUUAUUAAGUCAGUGGUGAAAGCCUACAGCUUAACUGUAGAACUGCCAUUGAUACUGGUAACCUUGAGUAUAGUUGAGGUGGGCGGAAUAAGUCAUGUAGCGGUGAAAUGCAUAGAUAUGACUUAGAACACCUAUUGCGAAGGCAGCUCACUAAGCUAUUACUGACGCUGAUGGACGAAAGCGUGGGGAGCGAACAGG
rnacentral:misc_RNA from 1 species